UACGAAGGGGGCUAGCGUUGUUCGGAAUUACUGGGCGUAAAGCGUAUGCAGGCGGAUCGUUAAGUCGGGGGUGAAAUCCCGAGGCUCAACCUCGGAACUGCCUUCGAUACUGGCGAUCUUCGAGUCCGGGAGAGGUGAGUGGAACUCCGAGUGUAGAGGUGAAAUUCGUAGAUAUUCGGAAGAACACCAGUGGCGAAGGCGGCUCACUGGCCCGGUACUGACGCUGAGAUACGAAAGCGUGGGGAGCAAACAGG
rnacentral:rRNA from 1 species